rnacentral:miRNA from 1 species
CUUUCGAGCAGUAAUCAAAGUC